rnacentral:lncRNA from 1 species
AGAGGCCUACCAAGACCCUCAGUAUCCACAGUAUUGGUACAGUUCUGUCAAGAGUACCCAAGGGAAGUCACAUGGUCACAGAUCUUCCGUUUUGUACAGAUGAGAGAGUUGCUCACAACGUAGAGUCUUCCUUAUCUGGGAAAUGGGGCCAAGGUAAGAUUUUUCCAGGUGUCUUGGCAAGACACCACCAGGAGACUCCAAGGUUGAUGAGCACACAGCAAAGGCGCUGUGCAGCAUACCUCUGCCACUUCCCCUCCAUUGGCAAGGCCCCCCACAAGCACCAUUCCCCUCUGCCCCCACCCACACUUCUGCUGUGAGGGUGACUGAAGACUCCUGUGAGUUGUCUUUCAAACUGCGGAGGCCCUUUGAGCUGCAAAGGACAGAGGCCAACAGUUCUAAGUUUGCUGAGUUUCCUAAAUUUUAAACUCUAAACUGGAGAGUAAGGCACAGCCUGUCUUGGACAAGCAAAGACAGGUCCCGAGGCAGGAGUUCAGACCUGAGGCUCACAGACUCUCUGCCUUCAAGUAUUCUUACAGCAUCCCUGUUCUUAACCAGAAGUCUCUGUAUCAGUCUCUUGUCCCGGUGUGCCAUCCCUCCCAAAGGCUUGAUUCCUGGUGCUGUUCCCUCUACCUAUGGCUUUCAUAAGUAGCCACUGUGGAGGAUGGGCUCUUGUGUCAUUGAUUAUUGGUGGCCUGAAGACCAUGUCCCUGGGACCAGAUGUCUAUCCCUGGCCCUGUCACCCUUGUCUGUGAUAGAGAGCCCAGCUGUACUUCAAAUGCAAAAGCUGGUAACAGCAGCAUCUGCAGAAGACGAUGGGAGCAGAAGGUCCUGGCUCUGAAUUACCCUUGCUUUCCAGAGACACAAUUGGCAGAGUAACCCAGAUGCCACCUCAUGGCU